UAUGAACGCUGGCGGCGUGCCUAACACAUGCAAGUCGAGCGAGAAAGUCCUUCGGGAUGAGUACAGCGGCGGACGGUUGAGUAACACGUGAGAAUCUACCCUACAGUGAGGAAUACCCUCGAGAAAUCGAGGUUAAUACUGCAUACGUCCCUUCGGGGAGAAAGAUGGCCUCUUUGCUGUCGCUGUUGGAUGAGCUUGCGGACUAUCAGCUAGUUGGUGAGGUAAUGGCUCACCAAGGCUAUGACGGUUAGCCGGCCUGAGAGGGUGUACGGCCAAACUGGAACUUAGACACGGUCCAGACUCCUACGGGAGGCAGCAGUGGGGAAUAUUGCGCAAUGGGCGAAAGCCUGACGCAGCGACGCCGCGUGGAGGAUGAAGGUCUUCGGAUUGUAAACCUCUGUUAAGUGGGAAGAAAUACCUGUUUCUAAUACAAACGGGGGAUGACGGUGCCAUUAGAGAAAGCACCGGCUAACUUCGUGCCAGCAGCCGCGGUAAUAC
rnacentral:rRNA from 1 species